UACGUAGGGUGCAAGCGUUAAUCGGAAUUACUGGGCGUAAAGCGUGCGCAGGCGGUUGUGCAAGACAGAUGUGAAAUCCCCGGGCUUAACCUGGGAAUUGCAUUUGUGACUGCACGGCUAGAGUGUGUCAGAGGGGGGUAGAAUUCCACGUGUAGCAGUGAAAUGCGUAGAUAUGUGGAGGAAUACCAAAGGCGAAAGCACUCUGCUGGGCCACAACUGACACUGAGAGACGAAAGCGAGGGGAGCAAAAGGG
rnacentral:rRNA from 1 species